UACGUAGGGGCCGAGCGUUGUCCGGAGUUACUGGGCGUAAAGCGCGCGCAGGCGGCUCGUCAAGCCUGACGUGAAAGCCCCCGGCUCAACCGGGGAGGGUCGUCGGGGACUGGCGGGCUUGAGGUCGGCAGGGGUUGGUGGAAUUCCCGGUGUAGUGGUGAAAUGCGUAGAGAUCGGAAAGAACACCAACGGCGAAAGCACUCUGCUGGGCCGACACUGACACUGAGAGACGAAAGCUAGGGGAGCGAAUGGG
rnacentral:rRNA from 1 species